UUUAACAAGCGUUUCCAGAAACCUCAAUUUCACCUUCUUCCUGUAUGAGACGAUGACCAUAGAUGAGGAACCACUCGAUGACCGCACACAGAUCAACCAACCUUAACCGCAGAGGAGCCACUCAAUGACCACACACAGAUCAACCAACCUCAGCCGCCGAUGAACCAUUCAAUGACUACACACAGGAAAACAUCCACCACAGAUAAACCAGUCAAUGUCCACAAGCACGCCGACCAACCUCGACUGUUUAACUGAUACCAAAAUGCAAAAAAAAAUGUUUUAACAAGUUAUAUUUAUUUAUUUGGUUUUCUUCCAGAAUACACCCAGGUCACUCAGAAGACAAGGACAAGGAGAAAGAAGAUAGGGAAAGGGGAGGAUGAAGAAGAGGAGGACCUUCAGGACAGCAUGACCACUAGUAAUGUCAACAUGACAUCAUCAUACACUUGACAUGAAUCCUCCAUCACAGCAGGUGGGCAGAAUGAUGGGUGUCAUAGACGCUUGGCUCUCUCCUGGGUUUACAUCAUCACCACCCCCGACCCGUUGACAUCACCUAUCGUCAUGGACACGGCCAUUUCUGACCGCCUCAUUGACCUGAUGCCCUCCCACUCCACCCUGGUCUCCAGGUACGGUACCCUGCCCACAGGACAUCCUCCGGGUCAGACACUACAGAUGCUGACGUCAGUCUGCUAACCUCUCCACACUGCCACACACACACAUGCAAACAUGCGUGCGUUACAACGUGUGUGUGCUAGGACUGCCAGAGAGGUUAUCGUUAGUACAGCUCUGUUCCCAGGCCAGGAGAUGUGACAGCAGGAAGAACCACCAGCAGGACAGAAUGGGGCACCAGAGAGGAUCUCCAGCUGAGUUCAUAGUUCCAAGUUAAGUAAGCCCUGAUUUGCCAAAGGACCACUGGUCCAGCAGACAUGCCAGAACUGGCCCGGACUACAAUGGCCAUGAAUACUACGGAGUUCUUCUCUCCUAUGAGGAUGUCGCGAGAGAGUUGAUCCAUUAAUGGC